rnacentral:misc_RNA from 1 species
GGAAGUAAAAGUUGUAACAAGGUUUCCGUAGGUGAACCUGCGGAAGGAUCAUUCAUAAUAAGUGUUUUAUGGCACUUUUUUAAAUCCAUAUCCACCUUGUGUGCAAUGUCAGGGUUGGUCUCUUUUGAUCAGCCCCAAACAUCAACUAUUAUCUCAACUCUUUGUCUGAAAAAUAUUAUGAAUAAAACAAUUCAAAAUACAACUUUCGACAACGGAUCUCUUGGCUCUC